GUGAGGGGUCGCUGUCUGCCCAUGGAAAGAGGCCAGUUUGCAGUAACCUUCCUGAGGUAUUACCCAUUUCUGGCUAAUUCCAUGAGAUUUACUUGUAUGAAAAAAGGAAGAGCUCAUCAUUUUACUGACAUGGGGAGGAAACCUACAAAUGAAGACAAUAUAUUGAUUUUUAUUUUUGUAAACAGGUUAUGAAGCAGCAUGAGAUUUAAUGUCUCCAUUAGAACUGAACCAUUUCCUUUUACUUUGUCGCACUGCCCUAGUAACAACCUGUUAAUCAGAUUACUUUGUAGAUCUAGUUCUAUUUUAAAUACAGAAAUGCAUAGAAAACAAUCUAUUUUUUAUGGAGAAGUCUUUGUUUUCAGUUAACCAGACUUGUAAUCAGAUCAUUCUAAACGCUUUACCUUUGGUCACCUGUUUAUAUUUAAAAUGCGUGAUUGUAAUUAUAGCUGAGCGAAACUUUACAGAGUAUUGUGGGAAAAUCCUUAGGAUGUUUUUGGAGAGAUGACACGGUGUGUCAGUAUCACAGAAUAAGUACAAAUCAUGUUGGCUUUUUGUAGAGUACUAAGUAUUCCUGGGUUAAUGGUGAGCAAGAUGGAGAGGCUGUGCCUAUUAUUAGGGUGAGAAAAGUAUGAAGUGCCAAAAUGAUCAGUGAUUACUGAAUCAUGCAAUAUUUGGUCCUAAUGUAAUUGUAAUUUGAAAGGAUGCUCAGCAUGGAAAAUGUAGAAUACUGAAAAUGAAGAGAGCACAGCAUAAUUAUGGGUCAUGGGGAAAGAUCAGGGAGUUUAAACUAGGCUAACAUUGCACAGAAUGGAUUUAGUGUAGACUGUAAUAGCAUCUGAUCUAACCAAGAUGUUUGGGCCCCGUGCAUGAUCAUUUUCCCUAAAUAGCUGCAUGAAUAAGUUGUUCUAAGCCCAUACUUGCGUGUCAGUCAAAAUAAUAGUAUUUUUGUCAGCUUAUCAUAAUGAACUGUCCUUUUCCCUAAAAUGUUUUCCUGCUUUAGUGAAAAUUCAAUUUUGGACCCGUGCAGCUCAGAAGAGAUUCAUGAGACUGACAGGCAUGUUGGGUUAUUGGGCGGGAGACCGCGUGAAUUUGCUCAAAUGUUAAAAUGUGUACAAAAAGCACAUUGGAAAAAGUUUAUUGCAGCCAAACUUAAAAUAUGAGAUGUUAAUGCCACCACAUAGAGAUUAAGUAUUCUGCGUCCCUGCAUACUAUUAAAUUAUAGGUGCAAGGAAUUGCAGUGACCAUACACAUCACCUAAAAAUGUAGGAAAAUGAACUGCAAGUUUUCUGCAGGAAAUCUAAACCAGUCUUUUGGUAGGAAGUGUGAGGUAUCUAAACUAAGACCAGGGUGUGGUCCUUUUAAUGAGGCAUUAAGGCUUGUUGAAAUCCAGCAAUGGGAAAAGCCACUUGGCAUAAUGGUAUCUUGAUGUUACCAGAAGAAGUGAAGGUAUUGCUGUAGACAGUCACUCAGAGAAACAUGAAGACCGGUGGUUUGUGUAUGACGUGCAGCGACUUAGCAAGAUGUUAGUUACGGAAAUUGUGAUUCCUCAACACUAUAAACUCCCAAGUUAAAGUGGCUUUGGAUUAGUGACGUUCUUAGUUGCAUUUAUUGUUCAAAAAACAAACAUGCGUGCAUCUGUAUGUAGUAACCAGUGUUUCUGUAAGAUCGUUUUCGAUCCCAAGGUCUUAAGUGCCUAGUUACCUCGGGUACCUACUUGGCACUUGUUUGCACAGUAAAUGUUAGGUGGACAAUGAUAAAAGUGAGGUCUGCACAAAAUUUUCAGGGAAAAGUGUCUACCCUUUUGUCAAAGCUGGUAAACAUAAGUUCAAAACAAGUUAUGAAAUAAAAUUUGCUUUGGAGCA